GAUGAACGCUAGCGACAGGCUUAACACAUGCAAGUCGAGGGGUAACAGGGUAGCAAUACCGCUGACGACCGGCGCACGGGUGAGUAACGCGUAUGCAACCUGCCUAUAACUGGGGAAUAGCUCCCUGAAAGGGGAAUUAACACCGCAUAACACUAUUGAUUCGCAUGGAUUGGUAGUUAAAUGUAGCGAUACAGGUUAUAGAUGGGCAUGCGUGACAUUAGCUAGUUGGUGAGGUAACGGCUCACCAAGGCUACGAUGUCUAGGGGUUCUGAGAGGAAGGUCCCCCACACUGGUACUGAGACACGGACCAGACUCCUACGGGAGGCAGCAGUGAGGAAUAUUGGUCAAUGGGCGCAAGCCUGAACCAGCCAUGUCGCGUGCAGGAAGACUGCCCUAUGGGUUGUAAACUGCUUUUAUAGUAGAAGAAACACAUCUACGUGUAGAUGUCUGCCAGUAUACUAUGAAUAAGCAUCGG
rnacentral:rRNA from 1 species